rnacentral:rRNA from 1 species
UACAGGGGGUGCAAACGUUGCUCGGAAUCAUUGGGCGUAAAGCGCUCGUAGGCGGUUCGUUAUGUCGGAUGUGAAAGCCCUUGGCUUAACCGAGGAAGUGCAUCCGAAACUGGCGAGCUAGAGUACUAAAGAGGAUCGCGGAAUUCCCGGUGUAGAGGUGAAAUUCGUAGAUAUCGGGAGGAACACCGGUGGCGAAGGCGGCGAUCUGGGUAGAUACUGACGCUGAGGUGCGAAAGCGUGGGGAGCAAACAGG